rnacentral:rRNA from 1 species
CCUACGGGAGGCAGCAGUGAGGAAUAUUGGUCAAUGGGCGAGAGCCUGAACCAGCCAAGUCGCGUGAAGGAUGACGGCCCUACGGGUUGUAAACUUCUUUUGUCAGGGAGCAAUUGCGGGCACGCGUGGGCGUAGCGAGAGUACCUGAAGAAAAAGCAUCGGCUAACUCCGUGCCAGCAGCCGCGGUAAUACGGGGGAUGCGAGCGUUAUCCGGAUUUAUUGGGUUUAAAGGGUGCGUAGGCGGAAUAUCAAGUCAGCGGUAAAAUUUCGGGGCUCAACCCCGUCGGGCCGUUGAAACUGGUGUUCUUGAGUGGGCGAGAAGUAUGCGGAAUGCGUGGUGUAGCGGUGAAAUGCAUAGAUAUCACGCAGAACGCCGAUUGCGAAGGCAGCAUACCGGCGCCCGACUGACGCUGAGGCACGAAAGCGUGGGUAUCGAACAGGAUUAGAUACCCUAGUAGUC